AUUAAAACACUGGUUCCUGUACGAUCACCAAAGUUAAGCAACAUCAAGCCUGAUCUGUAUCGUGAUGGGUGACCAUUUGGGAAUACCAUUUG